GAUGAACGCUGGCGGCGUGCCUAAUACAUGCAAGUCGAGCGAACGGACGAGAAUCUUGCUUCUCUGACGUUAGCGGGGGGCGAGUGAGUAACACGUAGCUAACCUACCUUUAAAGCUGGGAUUACGUCGGGAAACCGGAGCUAAUACCGGAUCAUAUUUUGAACGGUAUGGUUCAAAAGUGAAAGACAGCCUUGCUGUCCCUUAUUAAUAGAUCCGCGCUGCAUUAGCUAGGUGGUAAGGUAACGGCUUACCAAGGCAACGAUGCAUAGCCGACCUGAGAGGGUGAUCGGCCACACUGGAACUGAGACACGGUCCAGACUCCUACGGGAGGCAGCAGUAGGAAAUCUUCCGCAAUGGGCGAAAGCCUGACGGAGCAACGCCGCGUGAGUGAUGAAGGUCUUCGGAUCGUAAAACUCUGUUAUUAGGGAAGAACAUAUGUGUAAGUAACUGUGCACAUCUUGACGGUACCUAAUCAGAAAGCCACGGCUAACUACGUG
rnacentral:rRNA from 1 species